GUGCUCAAUUUGGCAGCACAUAUACUAAAAUUGGAACAAUAGAGAGAGGAUUAGCACAACCCUGAACGACGAAAAAAUUACAUAUAUACACAUACACCUAUAAA